rnacentral:lncRNA from 1 species
UCUCCCACCUGUGUUAAGACAGUUAAAUAUUUCUUGAUGUUAGCUUGAGGACCAAGUGAGCCAUCUUGCCAGUUAAGCAAGUCUUAUUUCAGAGGACCAAAUGGUUAAAAGAGGAGAAUUUGUACAUUUGUUGAGCUUCCCCAUCUGAAGCUUGGGUUCCGUACUAUCCUAUUACUAUCCAUCUUCAUACUGAAUGAAACAAACUGAAAGGGAAUUCAUAAUCUUUUUUCUUAACUGAACAGGAAAACUUAUGAAAAUCAACAAUAAAUCUGAAUUUUAAUUUUCAUUCAACAGCUGAAAAACCAUGUCUGUUGACCACAUUGGACUAUUGCCUAGUUAAAAUCCAUAAAAUUCUCUAUAAACCAAUGAAAAGAAAGUAGUCUGGCAAUAAUUUCCAACUUUUUAAAUCCUAAUUUUUAGUUACAAAGAAAAAGGAUAGAACGAGGCUUUUCAAGGAAUUCUUGCUCAUCCCUUCAAUAAUUUGGUAGGCAACACAGUCCUAGAAUUCAGCUUCCUUUUUGGUUUUAUUACUAUUAAAUAGAUACUUUCAUAUAAAUGGAAACAUUUUUCCUCAAAACAUCAAUUCAAAACAUACUCCUUAUAUUAAUGGCUAUGGCACCACAUUUUUGGUAAAUUCCCUAUGUGUAACUUUUUCCUGUUGGUAUGUGAUUUUUUUCAUUUAAUAUGACUAUCUGCUGGUGUUGGGGGCAAUAGGUUUGUGAAUAUUCUGUGGAUAUGUCCAUGCAUAGGUGUAUAUAUAUACCUAUAUUUUUCCAGCUAAUACCUCAAAUGUGUGAUUGUUUAAUAUAUACCACACUAUGUUUGCACAGAGCAGGGCUUCUAUUAGCAGUGGAUAUUUUUAUUUCUUUUUUUUUUUUUUUUUUUUUUGUUUUGAGACGGAGUCUCUCUCUGUUGCCCAGGCUGGAGUGCAGUGGCGCGAUCUCCGCUCACUGCAAGCUCUGCCUCCCGGGUUCACGCCAUUCUCCUACCUCAGCCUCCCGAGUAGCUGGGACUACAGGCGCCCGCCACUACGCCUGGCUAAUUUUUUGUAUUUUUUGUAGAGACAGGGUUUCACCGUGUUAGCCAGGAUGGUCUCGAUCUCCUGACCUCGUGAUCCACCCGCCUCGGCCUCCCAAAGUGCUGGAAUUACAGGCAUGAGCCACCACGCCCAGUGGAUAUUUUUAUUUCUAACUUUGAAAAUCAGUCCACACAAUUUCAUUGGUGUGAAUUCUUUCUGUUGCUCUUUUUCAUAUUUUAAUGCAGAGAUUCCUCUUACAAGGCCCAUGCUUCAAACACAAUUAUAUCUUUCUAUAUCCAGCCAGCUGGAAAUAUAUAGGGGUAAGAAGUAUUUCUUGAAAAGUCCUUGUUUAGUAAGUUAGUAACAACUGGGAUGACUAGUUGCCAAGAUGUCUUGUAACUGCCUAGCAGAUGACACCUGCCGUGGCAAGUCUCAUUCACUUCAGUACAAGACUCUGUACAUUUCAAUCUGAUAUUCUAUUUUGCCAUUUAAGUACGCCAUUAAAAUCAUAGAGAUUUUCAGUGACAUUGGAGUACUGUAAAUAUUAGUUUCAAAAAGAAUUAUUUUGAAUAGGAUGAUUAAACCAAUAAGAAGAAAGAAACACACAGAAAUGAUAUUUUGCAGUUUAUCUGUAUUAAGAAAUGCUUCUUGCCAAUUUCUGGUUUUGGUUUUUGGAUUGCUACAUAAGACUUUCUUUCCAUUUACUUUAUGUGUUUUUAAAAGCUGCAGGUGAUUUUUAAGGUUUGAUGGAAUUAUAAUGGGAGCCUUGUAUAAGUUAAAUGAAACUGGUAAAGGAGAGCUUACUUUGUCUAUAAUGCUUUCAGGAUUAUAACUUAGAUUUAAAAAUGAAAUGUCUGACUUGUAAAAUAUUUAAUGUUAUAUCAGACUUCAAUAAAAUUUUCUGCGAGAACUCAAAGUAAAUGCAUUAGAUUUUUAAUGAAUGUUCUGAAUGAAAUAUGAAUUUUUGUCUUUCAGUCUCUGUAGUUUAUCUCAAUAUAUUAAUAAAAAGGUCUGUUCUCACUGU